GUGUAAGCAGUUAGGCUGGUGAACAGGAAAAUCCGUUCACCAUCAGGCUGAGCUGUGAUGCCGAGGGAAAUAAAGUACCGAAGUUCCUGAUUCCACACUGCCAAGAAAAGCCUCUAGUGAGAUAUAAGGCGCCCGUACCGCAAACCGACACAGGUAGGCGAGGAGAGAAUCCUAAGGUGAGCGAGAGAACUCUCGUUAAGGAACUCGGCAAAAUGACCCCGUAACUUCGGGAGAAGGGGUGCUCAUUAAGGUGCAAGCUUUGAUGAGCCGCAGUGAAUAGGCCCAGGCGACUGUUUAGCAAAAACACAGGUCUCUGCGAAGCCGCAAGGCGAAGUAUAGGGGCUGACGCCUGCCCGGUGCUGGAAGGUUAAGAGGAGGGGUUAGCCUUAAAAGCGAAGCUCUGAAUCGACCCCCAGUAAACGGCGGCCGUAACUAUAACGGUCCUAAGGUAGCGAAAUUCCUUGUCGGGUAAGUUCCGACCCGCACGAAAGGCGUAACGAUCUGGGCACUGUCUCAACGAGAGACUCGGUGAAAUUAUAGUACCUGUGAAGAUGCAGGUUACCCGCGACAGGACGGAAAGACCCCAUGGAGCUUUACUGUAGCCUGAUAUUGAAUUUUGGUACAGCUUGUACAGGAUAGGUAGGAGCCUUUGAAGCCGGAGCGCCAGCUUCGGUGGAGGCGUCGGUGGGAUACUACCCUG
rnacentral:rRNA from 1 species